rnacentral:rRNA from 1 species
AGCGAACGCUGGCGGCAGGCCUAACACAUGCAAGUCGAACGAACUCUUCGGAGUUAGUGGCGGACGGGUGAGUAACACGUGGGAACGUGCCUUUAGGUUCGGAAUAACUCAGGGAAACUUGUGCUAAUACCGAAUGUGCCCUUCGGGGGAAAGAUUUAUCGCCUUUAGAGCGGCCCGCGUCUGAUUAGCUAGUUGGUGAGGUAACGGCUCACCAAGGCGACGAUCAGUAGCUGGUCUGAGAGGAUGACCAGCCACACUGGGACUGAGACACGGCCCAGACUCCUACGGGAGGCAGCAGUGGGGAAUCUUGGGCAAUGGGCGAAAGGCUGACGCAGCCAUGCCGCGUGAAUGAUGAAAGUCUUAGGGUUGUAAAAUUCUUUCACCGGGGAAGAUUAUGACGGUAACCGGAGGAGAAGCCCCCGCUAACUUCGUGCCAGCCGCCGCAGUAAAAC